rnacentral:tRNA from 1 species
UGAGUUGUGGCUCAGUGGUGGAGCUCUUACCUUGCAUGUGUGAGGUACUGGGUUCAAUUCUCAGCACCACAU